rnacentral:tRNA from 1 species
CAAUAAAUGAUGGUAGACUGUAAAUCUCCUUAAGAAAUUACAACAGACUUCAUCC